UCCAGGGUAGCCUAGUGGACAUGGCAUCUGUCCGGUAAGCGGAACAUUGUAGGGUCGAUUCCCAUCCCCCAGGAC
rnacentral:tRNA from 1 species